rnacentral:snRNA from 1 species
GACGCUUCUCGACAUUUUGGCCAAGAUCAAAGUGUAUCAUCUGUUCUUAUCAGCUUAAUAUCUGAUACGUCCUCCAUUGCAGAACCAGAAUAUUAAACUCAGUUUUGGUUCAUCACGGAGUGCUAGGGUCUUGCUCCACCUCUGUCGCGGGUUGGCCCAGAACUGCACUAUCACCGGGAUCAAAAACAAUU